AGAGUUUGAUCCUGGCUCAGGAUGAACGCUGGCGGCGUGCUUAACACAUGCAAGUCGAACGAACCUUCGGGUUAGUGGCGGACGGGUGAGUAACGCGUGAGAAUCUGCCCUCAGGAGGGGGAUAACGGCUGGAAACGGCCGCUAAUACCCCAUAUGCCGCGAGGUGAAAUGAAUUUCGCCUGAGGAUGAGCUCGCGUCUGAUUAGCUAGUUGGUGUAGGUAAUGGCUCACCAAGGCGUCGAUCAGUAGCUGGUCUGAGAGGAUGAUCAGCCACACUGGGACUGAGACACGGCCCAGACUCCUACGGGAGGCAGCAGUGGGGAAUUUUCCGCAAUGGGCGAAAGCCUGACGGAGCAACGCCGCGUGAGGGAUGAAGGCCUCUGGGCUGUAAACCUCUUUUAUCAAGGAAGAAGAUCUGACGGUACUUGAUGAAUAAGCCACGGCUAAUUCCGUGCCAGCAGCCGCGGUAAUACGGGAGUGGUAAGCGUUAUCCGGAAUUACUGGGCGUAAAGCGUCCGCAGGCGGCCCUUCAAGUCUGCUGUUAAAACGUGGAGCUUAACUCCAUCAUGGCAGUGGAAACUGUUGGGCUUGAGUGUGGUAGGGGCAGAGGGAAUUCCCGGUGUAGCGGUGAAAUGCGUAGAUAUCGGGAAGAACACCAGUGGCGAAGGCGCUCUGCUGGGCCAUAACUGACGCUCAUGGACGAAAGCCAGGGGAGCGAAAGGGAUUAGAUACCCCUGUAGUCCUGGCCGUAAACGAUGAACACUAGGUGUCGGGGGAAUCGACCCCCUCGGUGUCGUAGCCAACGCGUUAAGUGUUCCGCCUGGGGAGUACGCACGCAAGUGUGAAACUCAAAGGAAUUGACGGGGGCCCGCACAAGCGGUGGAGUAUGUGGUUUAAUUCGAUGCAACGCGAAGAACCUUACCAGGGUUUGACAUCCUGCGAAUCUUUUGGAAACGAAAGAGUGCCUUCGGGAACGCAGUGACAGGUGGUGCAUGGCUGUCGUCAGCUCGUGUCGUGAGAUGUUGGGUUAAGUCCCGCAACGAGCGCAACCCACGUCUUUAGUUGCCAGCAUUCAGUUGGGCACUCUAGAGAGACCGCCGGUGAUAAACCGGAGGAAGGUGUGGAUGACGUCAAGUCAUCAUGCCCCUUACAUCCUGGGCUACACACGUACUACAAUGCUACGGACAAAGGGCAGCAAGUUCGCGAGGACAAGCAAAUCCCAUAAACCGUGGCUCAGUUCAGAUCGUAGGCUGCAACUCGCCUACGUGAAGGAGGAAUCGCUAGUAAUCGCAGGUCAGCAUACUGCGGUGAAUACGUUCCCGGGCCUUGUACACACCGCCCGUCACACCAUGGAAGUUGGCCACGCCCGAAGCCGUUACUCCAACCCUUGUGGAGGAGGACGUCGAAGGUGGGGCUGAUGACUGGGGUGAAGUCGUAACAAGGUAACC
rnacentral:rRNA from 1 species